CCUACGGGAGGCUGCAGUGGGGAAUAUUGCACAAUGGGGGGAACCCUGAUGCAGCGACGCCGCGUGGGUGAGGAAGUACUUCGGUAUGUAAAGCCCUAUCAGCAGGGAAGAAAAUGACGGUACCUGACUAAGAAGCCCCGGCUAACUACGUGCCAGCAGCCGCGGUAAUACGUAGGGGGCAAGCGUUAUCCGGAUUUAUGGGGUUUAAAGGGUGCGUAGGCGGGCUGUUAAGUCAGCGGUAAAAGCCCGGGGCUCAACCCCGGCGAGCCGUUGAAACUGGCUGUCUUGAGAUGUCGAGAGGUAUGCGGAAUGCGCAGUGUAGCGGUGAAAUGCUUAGAUAUUGCGCAGAACUCCGAUUGCGAAGGCAGCAUACCGGCGGCGAUCUGACGCUGAGGCACGAAAGCGUGGGUAUCGAACAGGAUUAGAUACCCCAGUAGUC
rnacentral:rRNA from 1 species